rnacentral:lncRNA from 1 species
GCAAGGCACAAGACUUAGGCAUGUGAGCCAAGUCACCUACAAAACAAGCAAAGUUAAACAAUGCUAUUCAAGCAAACUCAAAAAAAAGAAAUUGAUCUCAACGGUCACUUGGGGUUCAACCUGAAAACAUAAACUCAACAGUAAGCAACUGGACCACUAGGGCAAGCCUAGGGUCAAAAGAGAAUGAAAAAGUCAAAACAGC